rnacentral:rRNA from 1 species
CCUACGGGAGGCUGCAGUGGGGAAUAUUGCACAAUGGGGGGAACCCUGAUGCAGCGACGCCGCGUGGGUGAGGAAGUACUUCGGUAUGUAAAGCCCUAUCAGCAGGGAAGAAAAUGACGGUACCUGACUAAGAAGCCCCGGCUAACUACGUGCCAGCAGCCGCGGUAAUACGUAGGGGGCAAGCGUUAUCCGGAUUUACUGGGUGUAAGGGGAGCGUAGACGGCGUGCCAAGUCAGAUGUGAAAGGCCGGGGCUCAACCCCGGGACUGCAUUGGAAACUGGCAUGCUGGAGUGCAGGUGGGGCAAGCGGAAUUCGUAGUGUAGCGGUGAAAUGCGUAGAUAUUAGGAGGAACACCGAUGGCGAAGGCAGCUUGCUAAACGGUAACUGACGUUGAGGCUCGAAAGCGUGGGGAGCAAACAGGAUUAGAUACCCCUGUAGUC